AGAAUGGCCUCUAGCAUCUUCUGUGUGCAUCUCUCCACCACAGCCCCCACCUCCUCUUCCCUUCCCUCCCAGCUGAAGGCAUUAGUCCUCUGGGUCAUCAGUGUUUCCAUCCUUCUGUGAUUCCAGCCUGAUUCCAGCACUCAUCUACAGCUGAUUGAACCGGACACCUGUUUCCAGCAGACUCUCUGAAUGAAAUAAUGAGACCAGGAGCAGCUUUUCUAAGGAGUCAUCCAUUUGCAGCAACAGGAGUGAUGUAAUCACCAUUAAACUUUGUUCUGGAUGCUGGAUUCAUGUUGUAUAGUGUUAUUUAAGAAUGCAUUGAGCGCCACAUAAUUACACCUA